CGUGUAGGCGGCUCAUCAAGUCUGGUGUGAAAACGCAAGGCUUAACCUUGCGUAGGCGCUGGAAACUGGUGGGCUGGAGUUCUUGAGGGGAAGCUGGAAUUCCAGGUGUAGGGGUGAAAUCUGUAGAUAUCUGGAAGAACACCGGUGGCGAAGGCGAGCUUCUAUCAGAGGACUGACGCUGAGGCGCGAAAGCGUGGGGAGCAAACAGGAUUAGAUACCCUGGUAGUCCACGCUGUAAACGAUGUGCACUAGGCGUGGGGCACGUACGUGUUCUGUGCCGUAGUUAACGUGUUAAGUGCACCGCCUGGGGAGUAUGCUCGCAAGGGUGAA
rnacentral:rRNA from 1 species